rnacentral:rRNA from 1 species
UUUCCGUACGUGACCUGCGGAAGGAUCAUUAGUGAAACUUCAAAGUCGGCUUGUCAUACUGUGCUGGUGGAGACACAUGUGCACGUUACGAGUCGCAAAUCCACACACCUGUGCAUCUUAUGACUCUGAGUGCCGCUUUGCAUGGCCUUGACCGGCCUGGCGCUCGAGUACCUUUCACACACUCUUGAAUGUAACGGAAUGUCUAUUGUGCAUAAUGUACAAAUGAAACAACUUUCAACAACGGAUCUCUUGGCUCUCGCAUCGAUGAAGAACGCAGCGAAAUGCGAUAAGUAAUGUGAAUUGCAGAAUUCAGUGAAUCAUCGAAUCUUUGAACGCACCUUGCACCCUUUGGUAUUCCGAAGGGUACACCCGUUUGAGUGUCAUUGUAAUCUCACUACGAUCGACUUUUACGGUCUUUUCGUAUGUGGACUUGGAUGCUGCCGUGGAUAUCCUACGGCUCGUCUGAAAUGCCUGAGUGUACCCCGCUUUGCGGCGUAUUCGGUGUGAUACAUCUUCACCGGAGUCGAUCCGAAAGGAUCGCGUCUGUAAUGGUGUGGCUCUAUGCUUUCCAACCGUCUUGACAGGACAAUCUCUGACAAUUUGACCUCAAAUCGGGUGGGACUACCCGCUGAACUUAAGCAUAUCAAUAAGCGGAGGAAAAGAAACUAACAAGGAUUCCCCUAGUAACGGCGAGUGAAGAGGGAAAAGCUCAAAUUUUGAAUCUGGUGUCUUUGACUCCCGAGUUGUAAUCUAGAGAAGUGUUUUCCGUGUCGGACCGUGCACAAGUUCCCUGGAACGGGGCGUCAUAGAGGGUGAGAAUCCCGUAUAUGGCACGGAACUGCGAUGCUUGUGAUCACUCUCAACGAGUCGAGUUGUUUGGAAUGCAGCUCAAAAUGGGGUGUAAUUUCAAUCUA